GAUGAACGCUAGCGGCAGGCUUAACACAUGCAAGUCGAGGGGCAGCGCGGGAUAGCAAUAUCCUGGCGGCGACCGGCGGAAGGGUGCGUAACGCGUGAGCGACAUGCCCGUUGCCCGGGGACAACCGGUGGAAACGCCGACUAAUCCCCGAUGGGAUACGAUGCUUCAUGGCAUUGUAUUGAAAGUUACGGCGGCGACGGAUUGGCUCGCGUCCGAUUAGCUGGUUGGCGGGGUAACGGCCCACCAAGGCUGCGAUCGGUAGGGGUUCUGAGAGGAAGGCCCCCCACAAGGGGACUGAGACACGGCCCAUACUCCUACGGGAGGCAGCAGUGAGGAAUAUUGGUCAAUGGGCGGAAGCCUGAACCAGCCAUGCCGAGUGCGGGAAGGAGGCCCUAUGGGCUGUGAACCGCUUUUGCCUGGGGGCAAUAAGGGCGUCGCGCACGUCCGAUGAGAGUACCAGGCGAAUAAGCAUCGGCUAACUCCGUG
rnacentral:rRNA from 1 species